CUUCCUACGGGGGGCAGCAGUGAGGAAUAUUGGUCAAUGGGCGUAAGCCUGAACCAGCCAAGUCGCGUGAGGGACGACGGCCCUACGGGUUGUAAACCUCUUUUGCCGGGGGACAAACGGCGGCACGCGUGCCGUCCUGAGGGUACCCGGAGAAAAAGCAUCGGCUAACUCCGUGCCAGCAGCCGCGGUAAUACGGAGGAUGCGAGCGUUAUCCGGAUUUAUUGGGUUUAAAGGGUGCGCAGGCGGAAUGUCAAGUCAGCGGUAAAAUUUCGGGGCUCAACCCCGUCGUGCCGUUGAAACUGGCG
rnacentral:rRNA from 1 species